ensembl:ncRNA C23H3.10 ncRNA
GGACCCCAAGAAAAUGGGCGUGGCAAGAUAGUUAUGAGCUUUUUCGGGAAGGGAGCAAUGUGUUGUGCAGGCUCGAAGCCACUUGAUAUAAUAUUCGGAGCAUACG